rnacentral:rRNA from 1 species
AUUGAACGCUGGCGGCAGGCUUAACACAUGCAAGUCGAGCGGGGGAAGGUAGCUUGCUACUGGACCUAGCGGCGGACGGGUGAGUAGUGCUUAGGAAUCUGCCUAUUAGUGGGGGACAACAUCUCGAAAGGGAUGCUAAUACCGCAUACGUCCUACGGGAGAAAGCAGGGGAUCUUCGGACCUUGCGCUAAUAGAUGAGCCUAAGUCGGAUUAGCUAGUUGGUGGGGUAAAGGCCUACCAAGGCGACGAUCUGUAGCGGGUCUGAGAGGAUGAUCCGCCAAACGGGGACUGAGACACGGCCCAGACUCCUACGGGAGGCAGCAGUGGGGAAUAUUGGACAAUGGGGGGAACCCUGAUCCAGCCAUGCCGCGUGUGUGAAGAAGGCCUUAUGGUUGUAAAGCACUUUAAGCGAGGAGGAGGCUACUUUAGUUAAUACCUAGAGAUAGUGGACGUUACUCGCAGAAUAAGCACCGGCUAACUCUGUGCCAGCAGCCGCAGUAA